CUCGUAGGUGGUUUGCUACGUCCGCUGUGAAAACCUAGGGCUUAACCCUGGGCCUGCAGUGGAUACGGGUAGACUAGAGGUAGGUAGGGGAGAAUGGAAUUCCCGGUGUAGCGGUGAAAUGCGCAGAUAUCGGGAGGAACACCGGUGGCGAAGGCGGUUCUCUGGGCCUUACCUGACACUGAGGAGCGAAAGCGUGGGGAGCGAACAGGAUUAGAUACCCUGGUAGUCCACGCCGUAAACGUUGGGCGCUAGGUGUGGGGUCCUUCCACGGACUCCGUGCCGCAGCUAACGCAUUAAGCGCCCCGCCUGGGGAGUACGGCCGCAAGGCUAAA
rnacentral:rRNA from 1 species